rnacentral:rRNA from 1 species
UUUGGUGGCGAUAGCUAAGAGGUCACAACCGUUCCCAUACCGAACACGGAAGUUAAGCUCUUCAGCGCCGAUGGUAGUCGGGGGUUUCCCCCUGUGAGAGUAGGACGCCGCCAAGC